rnacentral:rRNA from 1 species
UACGAAGGGGGCAAGCGUUGUUCGGAAUUACUGGGCGUAAAGGGCGCGUAGGCGGCUUUGCAAGUGACGGGUGAAAUCCCUCGGCUUAACCGAGGAACUGCCUGUCAAACUGCAUGGCUUGAGACCGGGAGAGGUGAGUGGAAUUCCCAGUGUAGCGGUGAAAUGCGUAGAUAUUGGGAGGAACACCAGUGGCGAAGGCGGCUCACUGGACCGGUACUGACGCUGAUGCGCGAAAGCGUGGGGAGCAAACAGG